CAUGAUACUAAAAUCGUAACGUCUAUAAAUAAGAACUUUUGGCGGUAUUGACGACCAGUUUUUGAGCGUCAGUGUUGAAGCGUUUUGUAAUGCCGGCUCACGGCCAAAAAUCUAUAAACUUCCUAAUAAAGUGAAUAAUCAAAUUCUAAACAAGUAAACGAAAUAAAUCACCACAAAUAACUAAUAUAGUGUUUGGGAGAAAUAAACGCUACUAAAUGGAUUAUGUCUAUCAUUUCAUCGAGGAACCUGACUACGAUUUAACAAAUGAGUCCUCAUU